GACGAACGCUGGCGGCGUGCCUAAUACAUGCAAGUAGAACGCUGAAGAGAGGAGCUUGCUCUUCUUGGAUGAGUUGCGAACGGGUGAGUAACGCGUAGGUAACCUGCCUGGUAGCGGGGGAUAACUAUUGGAAACGAUAGCUAAUACCGCAUAAAAUUGAUUAUUGCAUGAUAAUUAAUUGAAAGAUGCAACUGCAUCACUACCAGAUGGACCUGCGUUGUAUUAGCUAGUUGGUGAGGUAACGGCUCACCAAGGCGACGAUACAUAGCCGACCUGAGAGGGUGAUCGGCCACACUGGGACUGAGACACGGCCCAGACUCCUACGGGAGGCAGCAGUAGGGAAGCUUCGGCAAUGGGGGGAACCCUGACCGAGCAACGCCGCGUGAGUGAAGAAGGGUUUCGAAUCGUAAAGCUCUGUUGUAAGAGAAGAACGGGUGUGAGAGUGGAAAGUUCACACUGUGACGGUAUCUUACCAGAAAGGGACGGCUAACUACGUG
rnacentral:rRNA from 1 species